GCCAGACUCCUACGGGAGGCAGCACUCGGGAAUAUUGCGCAAUGGAGGAAACUCUGACGCAGUGACGCCGCGUGCAGGAAGAAGGUUUUCGGAUUGUAAACUGCUUUAGACAGGGAAGAAAAAAGACAGUACCUGUAGAAUAAGCUCCGGCUAACUACGCGCCAGCAGCCGCGGUAAUACGUAGGGAGCGAGCGUUAUCCGGAUUUAUUGGGUGUAAAGGGCGUGUAGCCGGGCUGACAAGUCAGAUGUGAAAUCCGGGGGCUCAACCCCCGAACUGCAUUUGAAACUGUUGGUCUUGAGUAUCGGAGAGGCAGGCGGAAUUCCUAGUGUAGCGGUGAAAUGCGUAGAUAUUAGGAGGAACACCAGUGGCGAAGGCGACUUUCUGGACUGUACCUGACGCUGAGGCGCGAAAGCGUGGGGAGCAAACAGGAUUAGAUACCCCUGUA
rnacentral:rRNA from 1 species